rnacentral:pre_miRNA from 1 species
UUUUUAGUAGAAGUAUAUCCCAUAUAAUAUUUGUGACAUAUUUAUACUAAAA